UUAUAUUCUAUUGUUUUUUUUUAUUCUAUUCUAUUUAAUUUUAUUUAAUUUUUUUCUGUUUAAUUCUAUUCCAUUAUUUGAUUUGAUUUAUUUUAUUUUUUAUUUAUUUUAUUCUAUUUAAUUUUAUUUAAUUUUAUUCAGUUUACUUCUAUUCUAUUAUUUUAUUUAUUCUCAGGACGCGUGGCAUUGGUCUCUGAGCGUGUGUGUCGUCUCCUGUCUGCUGCUGUGGUAUUAUAACAUCUCAAACGGCUCUAAACACUGGGACACUUUGAUGUAGGUCAUGAGAUCUCUUCAGACGUUUGCCAGACUGCAUUUAUAAAGAUGAGAUGGCAUAAACAGGUGGACGUGUAUGUUUAAUUUAUAUCAGCCUGACAGGAAGCACACGGGACAAUUACUCCUGAUAUCCAGCACACACAUGCACAGCUCCAGGACAUGGGUCAUUUAUCCUACUAACCAUUCAUGCACUGUGUGUGUGUGUGUGUGUGUGUGGAAAUUGUGAGGUGAAUUUCCCCUGUAUGAUUCAAGUUAGAGGAUACAGUCUCUGCCCCGAUAAGAAUUUAAAUCCUGUUUUGCUUCAUAUCAACUCGCUAAACCAAAUGGGAACUUGCAAUGAUUUAUUACUGCAGUGUUUUUCAACCUUGACUCAUAAAGUGUUUGUCGCAGCCCAUCCCAUCCCAUUUUUUCAGUUAACAGGAAGUAGUGUCCAUAUAAACAUGGGAUGUAAACCUUACGCAACAUUUCAAAGUGGACCGGAGUCAGUGGAUCACAACUGCUGUGUCGUGACCCAAAAAUAGUUUCCCAAAACAAUGAUAAAAUGCAAGUAACCGUAGUAGUUAUGUGGUUUGUCUUUUAGCAUCUAUAUGCUGGUGUCAUCCUAAAAUUACUUCGAAUUAUUGAAUUUAAUAUAAUUAUUUCAGCAGAUUUGUGUUUUUGAGUUAAUGAAUUCUUAUAUUUUUUUAUUUUAUUUUAGCAGAUUUGUGUUUUUCAAGUAUUAUAAUUAAUGUUUUGUUUUAUUUUAUUUUUUAUUUUAUUUGCACUUCCCAGAUUUUUGACCAAUCAGUCGCUCUCCAGACUGAGAAAGCCCCUCCCCCUCCCCGCUAUUAUUAGUCUGCUUCAAAAUCUGAUUCCACUGACAUUUUUGUACGGUGAACAGUAUUGGUGCUUUGUUGUGCUGCCAGAUUUCGUCCAAGGCCUGAGAUCAUGUUCCUGCCAGGAACCGCGAGACCUCCAGAUGAACCUGAAGUGAAACUGACAUCAGGCCACCACAAGAUCAGCUGAACAAACGAUUUUACAGCUAAUAUCGCGCCGAUACUGUCAACGCACCGACACGUUUAACGGAAAUGACCGCGGCGGCACUCUCACGGUGGGAUUUUUCUCUUCCCCUGCCGCAACAAUUGAUGUUUAGGAAGGAAGAUGAGCCCGUCGUUUCAAACGCCACAUUCAUCUGUCAGACCGUUCGACCAGAAAGCUGAUUUACGGUUGAAUCUGAGGCGAUCGUCUCCUGAGAACUCACACACUUCACACACUUCACACACGUCUGCCCGUCUGUCUGCCGCAGGUCUGUGUUCUUCAGGGAGACGGGCUGCUAAAAGCUUUUCAACACCAACAUCUCCCCGUGAUCCCAGAGAAAUCAAAGAGAGCAAAUCUCUCCUGCUGAAGCGCUGUGGAUGUGAAGGAAGAUGAUCAGAGAUUCGGGAGUCUGAAGCUGAUCAAAGUUCAUCACGUCCCAUCAUCACACGACACGAACACGUGUGUUCAGAUCUGCUCUUGAUCAUAUUUCAAUAGCAAACAAAUCUGCCUUGAUUGAACAUGAAAAAUGUCAGUUUUUAUAUCCUUUGCAUUUAGUUCAUGCAUAAUAAAUAAACGUCAGAAAUCAA